GGGGAUUUAGCUUAGUGGUAGAGCGCUUGCCUAGGAAGCACAAGGCCCUGGGUUCGGUCCCCAGCUCA
rnacentral:tRNA from 1 species